rnacentral:misc_RNA from 1 species
UCAGUAUGCGGGUCCCCAUUUCCUCUGAAAGAGGAUUAUAAUUAUCUGACAUAUCAGUUAUUUUAGCUGAAAUUGAGGUCUUCAUCUGUUGCAAACAAAUUUGCAUCACCGUCAAGGCAUGAAAAUUAAAAUGGCUGUCAACAUGGUUCUCACAAUAGUUGCAUAGCUCAGGCAAAAUCCUAUCAUACAAAAUUGUCUUAACAGAGCC